GACGAACGCUGGCGGCGUGCCUAAUACAUGCAAGUCGAACGAACGGAUAAAGAGCUUGCUCUUUUGAAGUUAGUGGCGGACGGGUGAGUAACACGUGGGUAACCUGCCUCACAGCUGGGGAUAACAUCGAGAAAUCGAUGCUAAUACCGAAUGUGCUGAACAUCAUAAGAUGUUCAAGUGAAAGACGGUUUCGGCUGUCACUGUGAGAUGGACCCGCGCUGGAUUAGCUAGUUGGUAAGGUAAUGGCUUACCAAGGCGACGAUCCAUAGCCGACCUGAGAGGGUGAUCGGCCACAUUGGGACUGAGACACGGCCCAAACUCCUACGGGAGGCAGCAGUAGGGAAUCUUCGGCAAUGGACGAAAGUCUGACCGAGCAACGCCGCGUGAGCGAAGAAGGCCUUCGGGUCGUAAAGCUCUGUUGUUAGAGAAGAACAUGGGUGAGAGUAACUGUUCACCCCUUGACGGUAUCUAACCAGAAAGCCACGGCUAACUACGUGCCAGCCGCCGCCGUAACAC
rnacentral:rRNA from 1 species